rnacentral:rRNA from 1 species
CUACGGGGCGCUGCAGUGGGGAAUAUUGGACAAUGGGCGCAAGCCUGAUCCAGCCAUGCCGCGUGAGUGAUGACGGCCUUCGGGUUGUAAAGCUCUUUCAACGGUGAAGAUAAUGACGGUAACCGUAGAAGAAGCCCCGGCUAACUUCGUGCCAGCAGCCGCGGUAAUACGAAGGGGGCUAGCGUUGUUCGGAAUUACUGGGCGUAAAGCGCACGUAGGCGGACUUGUAAGUCAGGGGUGAAAUCCCGGGGCUCAACCCCGGAACUGCCUUUGAUACUGCAAGUCUAGAGGUCGAGAGAGGUGAGUGGAAUUCCGAGUGUAGAGGUGAAAUUCGUAGAUAUUCGGAGGAACACCAGUGGCGAAGGCGGCUCACUGGCUCGAUACUGACGCUGAGGUGCGAAAGCGUGGGGAGCAAACAGGAUUAGAUACCCCCGUAGUC